GGGUACAGAGGUUUUUCUGUUUCUUCUUAGCAUCUAUUUAUUCUCCAGGUCUCAGCUGCAUUGCCACUGCCUUAGGGGAGGCCUUCCCUGACUGAUUUGAGGAGGUGCGAUGUCCAAAGGAUGCAGUUUUAAGGUCAGAUUUUUGUGGUGGGCCUCUUGGCAUCUUCCAGAAUUUAAGAAUACUCAUGAGUCUGGAAACAAUAAGAGGUGGUAUGGGUUCAGCAUAAACCUUCAAAGCAAUCACUAGGCAUGGUAAUUAUAUGGUCUUCAAGCAAGUGGAGGCUGAUAAUUUCACAUAGAGGAGGGAAGAAGAAGCUGCUUUUGUUGGAGCAUGCUCAACCUGAGUGCUCGGCAAGGCAAAUGGAAUGGAGGAUCCACACUCCUGGAAGCAGCUUUCAACCAACAAUGAUGGACAGUUAGUGGCUAGAAACUCUCGCUUUAUCCCUUAGUUGGGCUUACCCUGUAUGAUCAUAUACCCUGUCGACAGCACCACUGUUGUCCAGCACUGUUGAGUUCCAGUUGCUCAGCAUAGUGUUGAUCAAGAAUUUAAGGUGCCUUCCCUCUCCUGGCUCUCUCAUUUUCCCACUUUAUUAAUAGCAUUUCCAGGGAUCACCUCUCAGUUUAGCUACUUGCAUUCAAAUUCUUGUCUCAGGAUCUGCUUCUGGGUGAAACCAAGACAUCUAAGUUCCACUGGCAAUGAAGUAAUUAAUGCCUUAAAUCUGAUUAGAUCUAUAAACUAAUUCCAGAUUCUCAUCUUUAAGGUUGGUCUCUGUGAUGAUUAAUAUUGAGUGUCAACUUGAUUGAAUUGAAGGAUGCAAAGUAUUGUUCUUGGGUGUCUGUAGGGUGUUGCCAAAGGAGGUUAGCAUUUGAGUCAGUGGACUGGGAAAGGCAGACCCACCCUCAAUCUGCGUGGGCACAAUCUAAUCAGCUGCUAGUGUGGCCAGAAUAAAAGCAGGCAGAAGAACAUGAAAAGACUAGACUAGUUUAGCCUCCCAUCCUAGAUCUUUCUCACGCACUGGAUGCUUCUUUCCCUUGAACAUCGGACUCCAAGUUCUUCAACUUUGGGAAUUGGUCUGGCUUCCUUGCUCCUCAGCCUGCAGAUGGCCUAUUAUGAGACCUCACCAUGUGAUGGUGUGAGUCAAUAUUCCUUAAUAAACCCCC
rnacentral:lncRNA from 1 species